rnacentral:rRNA from 1 species
UAGCGUUGUUCGGAAUUACUGGGCGUAAAGCGCGCGUAGGCGGCUUUGUAAGUUAGAGGUGAAAGCCCGGGGCUCAACUCCGGAACUGCCUUUAAGACUGCAUCGCUUGAAUCCGGGAGAGGUGAGUGGAAUUCCGAGUGUAGAGGUGAAAUUCGUAGAUAUUCGGAAGAACACCAGUGGCGAAGGCGGCUCACUGGACCGGUAUUGACGCUGAGGCACGAAAGCGUGGGGAUCAAACAGG